GGUGACACUGGAGCCAAUCACAAAGGAAGGAAGGGAGUGAGCGGUGCAAACACGUGGCAACUGUUCAAGGCAGAGGAAAGAGCCAGUACCAUGGCUGCUAACAGAGGCCGCCGUAUCAGGGUAACAGAAAAGAUCUCCUACGGGACACCAUGGGGCUGGGAAACCCUUGCCUCCUGCCCAUGCCUCCAGCUACCUGCUCUUACCAGAAACCAUCAUGCUCUCUCUGGCUCUUGAGCCUGAAGAUCUCUCCCUCUUCCCAAACCCAUUAACAUUAAUAAUUAUUAAUUAUAAUAAAUAAUAUAUUGAAAAUA